AAAUACACAGAUUCUUAUAGUCUGAGUGAAACAAGUGAUCAAACACAACAUAUACUUGUUUAACAUUCCCAACACCCAUAUACAACCCACAUAGUGUCUACGGAGCCUCUAAAGAUACAAAAGAGAGUAAGGAUGGUGCCGGCAACAAGGCCCCGGCUAUACCUCAAAAGGUGACCACAAUAUAAACAAAAGGUAAAAUACUUGACCCCAGAAUGAAAUGGAGCUCACCGAGUCCACUGAAAAGAGGAUGCAACACUAUCUGUGAUCAACACUGUCUGCUAUGUAACCACCUGCAUUCAUUUAAAGAUGCAGCGCCCCCGACAAAAGGGACGCUAGUACCGUCGAAUAGCACUAGUAUGUAAAGCUAAACACCAUCUCAAUAGAAUGAAUAAUAAUACAAGAUGAACAUUCAAAAAUUCAAUAAGAGAUUCAAAUAAUAUUAAAACAUCAAUUUAAAGAUCACAUAAGUUUUCAAGUUAAUUUCCACGUUGUUAGGUUGGGUGAUCUUUAGUACCGAUAUUCCACAAUUCACAAUACCUCUGUAUUCUUCCACGGAGUCCGAUCUCGUCCCUAUCUGCUAGGUCGUCUCAUUUGAGACAUUACCACAAUUUCGUUAUAAUUUCUAGCACAGUACCACCAUGUGUGCGGCAUGGCAUCCGAUCACGGCCCGAUCGGCUAGGCCAUCUCAUUUGAGACAUCAACCAUCUUCACAAUUUCAUCCACAAUACCACCGUGUUCUUACACGGAGUCCGAUCUCGGUCUGAUCGGCUAGGCCAUCUUAUUUGAGACAUUACCUUUUUCAGUCAAUCAUCUCACAUCGUACUUCUUUCAAAUACUUUCAAUUCAUUGGCACUAGUAAUUACGAUUACAAAGUCAUUCUCGGCACUUGGCCGUAUUUUAUAGUUCCAAUCCUUUUUUUUUCACAUUCAAAUAUCAUUAUCAUUAUCCACAAUAAUAAGGCUUCCCAUUCAAGACAUUAGAUUCACAUAUGAGCAAUUUGUGAAUCUUAGGCACAUAGAGGCUUUUCAUAUAAUUUGGCAUAAAAACCUUUAUUUUGAUCUUGAUAUGAAGUCUUAACAUUCCUAACACAUAUUCCACAUUUUGAACAUAUUCUCAAAUGGCAAGAUGACAUGAUGAAUAAUUUAGAAUAAACAUUGAACAAACAUCCUUCAAUACAACCACAUUAGGAAUAGCCAAUUCAAUAAUGAUCAAGGACUUACUCCAAUCACAUGAAUACCAUGGGAUUCGAUCCUAAGAAGAAGGGGGUUUAGCCAACAUACCUCAAUUGAACUUCUCAAACUCUAAAAUGACCCGGAAUUCUUAGCAACUUCAAUCUAUUUUAGAAAUAUAACAAGUUGGACCAAAAUUAGGAUGAUGAACAUGGUUUUAGCCCAUUUGAGCAUAUUAUCAAACAUUAGGUGUGCAUAAAUGUUUUAAGGCCCUUUUUAUGGAAGAUUCCAUCAUUCCCCAACCCAUUCUCUAUCAUUUUUAGCUCACAAUCUUCCCCAUGAAUUACCUUACAAAUGGCCCAUUCUAGUUACAUUUUUGAAAUUAAGAGUUUGGGUGAUAGUAUCUUACUUCUUAGGAAGAAGACCUAGGUGCCUCUCUUGAUAAUCUUUAAGGUUUUAAGUGAGAAUUGAAGAGCAAUUUGAUGAAGAUCACUUCCUCCCUCUAGGACUCUCUCUCACACUCUAAAAAUAUCAGAAAAUAUGAUCAAAAUGGUCCAAGGUAGGUGUUUUAAUGGAAUAGGGUCGGGUUUAAAAACCCCAAAAAUAAAGCUCCGGAAUAGGUUCUACGGUCGCAUAUACGACUGCAUAAUGGUUAUGCGGUCCGUGAAAUGACCACGAAAUUGGGGUGCCAAAACUGAAAAAUAACUGACCGGUAUGCGGUCACUAUGCGACCCGCAAACCUGUUCUGCAGUCGCAUAAUGCACCGCAGAACGGUUCUUCGGUCGCAUAGUGCACCGCAGAACCUCCCUCCGAAAAAUUCCAAGGCGGGAUAUGCGAUAAGAGUGCGGCCCGUGAAACAGUGAUGCGGUCGUAUAAUGCCGUGAAAUUGACAACAAAAAUGCCCCAGAAAAUUGUCCCACUCUGCGACCAGUCUGAGGUCUGCAUAGUGGUUCUGCGGUCACAGAAUGGGCCGCAGAAAUGCCUACUUUUGCCCAAUAUUUUCCUUCAACUCCCUACUUCUACGCCUACUUUGGCAUCACGGAAUCCGGGAUUUUAGGAAAAUUUUACGGGGCCUUACAGGGAUCGAUUCAGAAGAAGCAUUAUCAUGUUAAAAGCUUUGAGUUGGAAGAGUUGACCAAGUUUGACUUUUGCAUAUUUGACCCCAGAUCGGAGUUUUGAUGGCUCAGUUAGGUCCGAAUUGUGAUUUGGACUUGGGCGUGUGCCCGAAAUUGCAUUUGGACGUUUCUUGAAUGUUUUGACGUUAAUUGGCAAAAGUUGGAAAUUUGGAGUAUUGGAAUAUUCAUAAGUUUGAUCAGGAGUUGACUUUGAUGGUUCAUCGUAGAUGCGGUCCUCCCUUGGCUGGCCUAAGUCCGCAUCUGCAGAAUAAGGGUCGCUUCUGCGAGGCCGCUCCUGCGGCAGAUGAGCCGCACCUGCGCAAGUCUCGCUUCUGCGGUCGCACAUCUGCGGUCACCUUGUCCGCAUCUAUGAUUUUUGGCUGCCCAUGCUGGACCGCUUCUGCGGCUGUUGGCUCGGUUCUGCGAGCUCGCACCUGCAGUUGGCCCUCUACAGGUGCGGUUACACUAGAAGCUGGGUGCUUCAGUUGUUCACCCAUCGCUAAGCGACCUCCGCGCAUCGUCUGAAUGGCAUCCGAGGCCCUGUCCAAACAUGCCAACAAGUUAGAAAUCAUAAAACGAAUUCGUUCGCACUCUCAGAACGCGGAAAACAACAUCAAAACUAAGAAUCACACCCCAAACCAAAUUGAAUCAACUUAUGAACUUCAAGUUAAUCCAACUUACUCCGAACGCGCCGAAACAUACUUAAACUACUCGGAAUGACACCAAAUUUUGUGUACAAGUUUAAAUCACCAUACCAAACUAUUCCCAAGUUCGAAAUCCCAAAUGGACCUCGAUAACACCAAAACCUACUCUAAACCAAAUUUAAAGAACUUUUAAACCUCUAAUAAGCAAACUUUCAACCUUAAGCGCCAAAACGCUCCUGUGUCAUCCGAAACCGAUCCUAACAUAUGCCCAUGUCCAAAAUCAUCAUACGAACCUAUUGGGACCGUCAAAUCCCGGUUCCGAGGUCAUUUACUCAAAACAUUGACCAAAGUCAAAAUUACCCCUUUUUGCCAACCUUAAGGAACCAAGUGUUCCGAUUUCAACCCGAACCCUUCCAAAUCCCGAACUAACCAUUCCUGCAAGUCAUAAAACAGUAAAAGUACAUAAGGGGAGUCUUAUUUAAGGAACGGGGACCUAGGAAGCAAAACGACCGGUCGGGUUGUUACAUUUGUACUACCAUUCCUUGGGAAUUUUUGUAUAAAAGUAGUUUUAUUAUCAUUUCUUUUCUUAAUAAAUCUAAUUUAAGUUUUAUAGUUAUUAAUUGGUUUACCUAACGGGUUGGGUUAGGUGUCAUCACGACUAGGUGGAUUUUAGGUCGUGACAAACGUAUAGCCAAAACCCUAAAAUUCCAUUCUUUCUCUCCUCUUUCAGCCAUCUACUUCUCCUCCUUCUCUCCUCAUCUUCUCCCUUCAUCAACCUACCAAUGACUUCCAUCUCUCUUUUUCACUCCUCCUUUUUUUCUCCUUGUAACGACCUAACCGGUCAUUUUACUUUUUAGAUCCUUGUUCCCCUAAAUAAGACUCCACAUAUGUGCUUUUACUGUUUUAUGAUUUGCGGGGAUGGUUAGUUCGGGAUUUGGAAGGGUUCGGGUUCAAAUCGGAACACAUACUUCCUUGUUAUUGGCUUAAAAGGGUUAAGUUUGACUUGGGUCAACAUUUGUAGUAAACGACCUCAGAACUGGGAUUUGACAGCUCCAAUAGGUUCGUAUGAUGAUUUUGGACUAGGGCGUAUGUUCGGAUCGGGUUUUGGAUGACCCGGGAGCGUUUCGACGCUUAAUAUUGAAGGUUGGCACAUUGAAGGUUUUUCAAGUUCUUUAAAUUUGGUUUGAAGUUGGUUUUGGUGUUAUCGAGGUCCGUUCGGGAUUCUGAGCCUGGGAAUAUCUCCGUAUGGUGAUUUAAGACUUGCACGCAAAAUUUGGCAUCAUUACGAGUUGAUUUGAUAGGAAUCGGAUGCACGAAAGUAUUUUCAGAAGUUUUUGAGUUUAAUGUUGAAUUCAUGCAUAUUGGUAUUCAAUUCAUAAUUCUAGAUAUUAUUUUGGUGUUUCAAUCGUGCGAGCAGGUCCGUAUUAUGUUGUUGGAUGUGUCAGUGUGAUUGGAUGGGGUCCCGGGGGCUCCGGGUGUGAAACGGAUUGGAAUCGGGCUCAGAAUUAGCAUGGAGAACUGCUGGUGCUUCAGAUCUGGUUCAAUCGUACCUGCGUGGAAAGGGUUGCAGGUACGAACUCACAGGAGCGGCACAGUGGUCGCAGAAGCAGACCUGAGGCUGGAGCUGGGUGGCUGCAGGUGCGAGUGUUGUUCCGCAUCUACGAGCCCCCUGAAGCGAUCGAGGCUCCACAAAUGCGGACUUGGGCUAGCCAGUUGUGGGUCACAGAAGAGAAAGGAAUCCGCAGAAGCGGAAGGAGUCCACAGAAGCGUCCCCCCGUCCGCAGAAGCGAGGAAGCUGGAGGCAGUGGAGGAUCGCAGGUGCGACCUUUUGACCGCACCUGCGAUUUUGCAGAUGCGAUCUAGUGGCCGCAGGUGCGGAAGUUGCUGGGUAGUGAGUGUUUUUAAUCCGAGACUUAGGCCAUUUUCCCUCACAUUUCAUUUGGUCUUGGGAGAUUUUGAGAGCUCAUUUGAGGUGGAUUCUCAUCAAUAUCCUAAGGUAAGUAACUCCCACCCAUUUUCAAGUUAAUUAAGUGGGUUUUAGGUAGAUUAAACAUGGAAAGAUUAUAAAAACUUGUGGGAUUUGUGAAGAACCUAGAGUUUUGGUAAAAAUGGGAUUUUACCACGAAAUUGAUUAUAGAAUUUAGUAGAAAUUAUAUAUUUGAGUUCGUGAGGCUAUGGGUAAUAUUUAUCUUCAAAUAUUUUCGGAAUUCGGACACGUGGGCUUGGGGGCAAAUUUUAAGAAUUUUUCAAUUUGGGUUGAGUAAUUACUCUAAUAGCUAAAUUAUGAAGUUUUGAGUAUAUAUUGAUUAAAUUAUAUAAUAUUUGACUAGUUUCGGAUUGUUCGGUAUCGACUUGGGGAUUUUAGAGCGAAUUAGUGGACCGGAAGUGAGCUUGAGAACGAGGUAAGUCUCUUGCCUAACCUUGUAAGAGGGAACUCAUCCCCUUAGGUAACGAGAGUCUGUGCGUAGCUAUAUUUCAUGUGAUGUCCGGGUAGUCUUAGAUUUGCAUCAUGCUUUAAUUGUACUGUCAUGCUUGUUGUGCAUAUUAAUUAUCUUAAAUAGAGCUGAAACUAGAGAUUUUAAAGUUGAAAACUUCCCAGUUAGAUUUCUUAUUUGGGAAAAUAAUUGAAGAAUACUUAAUAACUCUGAGAAAUCCAUAUCCUAUCGCGUCACAAGUACUUUAGCGAGCGAGGUAAACUUCUUUAUUCUCAUGGGAGCGGGUCGUUCGCCUCGGCAGUAUAAUAGAUGCAUCUAUGGUUCGUACCGUUCGACCCUCAGCAGUGCACACAAUAUUUUGGAUUGGAUCGUACGACCUCGGCAUAAAUCGUGCGUGAUAAUUUUUGGAACCCGAAUACACUUGAUAUUCUGUUAUGGCUUGAGAGGUAUAAUUUAUUUAAUAACCGGAAGCGAUUUGGAACUAGUAUGUGUUAGAUGAAGAUUUUGGAAUUUAUUACCAGUUAAAGAAUCAUUUAUUCACUGCUUGUUAUUAUGUUAUUAUUGUUAUUUCCAUAUCCCAUCACCAUUUAGAGUUUCUGCAUUUUAUUAUUGGCCCAUAGUAAGUGUCAAUGUCCGACCCCUCGUCACUCUCUUCGAGGUUAGAGUGGAUACNNNNNNNNNNNNNNNNNNNNNNNNNNNNNNNNNNNNNNNNNNNNNNNNNNNNNNNNNNNNNNNNNNNNNNNNNNNNNNNNNNNNNNNNNNNNNNNNNNNNNNNNNNNNNNNNNNNNNNNNNNNNNNNNNNNNNNNNNNNNNNNNNNNNNNNNNNNNNNNNNNNNNNNNNNNNNNNNNNNNNNNNNNNNNNNNNNNNNNNNNNNNNNNNNNNNNNNNNNNNNNNNNNNNNNNNNNNGAGACUUAGUGGUGAGUUGCUUCCGAAUCCAUUCUGCAGCACCCGGAGUCUCUUUUGCAUUUGCUUUCUAUCUACUCUAUUUCAGACAGUAAUUUAGUAUUUUGUAUACUCUACUAGUAGCUCAUACACUUGUGACACCAGGUCUUGAAAAUAUGCUAGUAAACAUUUGAUAGUUUUUGAGUAUUUAUUACACCACACUUGCUCUCAUAUUUAUUUACGGUUUAUUUUAUUAAUUUUUUCACCUCUUACUUACUUAAUAAAUAAAAAUCAACUAUUUUGAAAUUGUUAAAAAGAAUAAAUACAUGGUUAGUUUACCGUUGGCUUGCCUAGCGGUGACGUUGGGCGCCAUCACAGCCUAUAGGGUAAAUUGGGUCGUGACACUCCUUUUCUUCUCUUCCGCUCUAACAACACCAAACCAUUUUUUAAUUUUCUCUUUUCUUCUUUACAAUUUCCUCCUCCUUCACAUAGAUUAAAAAAACUAUCUUCUUUGAGUAAUUUUGUGCAAAAUUCUAGCGGUUAUUGCCGCCUUCUUCGCUUUCUAUCCUCUUUCAGAUUGCAGCCUAGGAAGAAAAACGUCAUCUAGGCGUUUCCUGUUGCUCCGAUCUCCCCUACGCCUCGGACGUUGUCUGGGCCAAGAGCCAUAGUUAGUUGUUGUUUCUAUUUGGUUGUUUCUUCCUCAUUGUUGAUGCCGACAUUAUUCAUUUUAUUCGCUACUGGAGCCCCUACUAUUACUAUUCAAGACGAAAAGAAGAUUGAAUCGAAUACGUGGUAUUGCAUGAUACCUUUUUGGAUGAAUUUUAUGAGAAGAUGAGAUACAGAGGAAAUAAAAUGACCCCUACCGGAGAAAAACUUUUUUUCGGUCAAGUUGGAUGUCCUCCAUUACUAUCAAUGCUCCUUAAUUUAUAUAUCGUGUAAUUAUUGUAUAAUAAUUGUAUAAGCACUGUGUAUACAUUAUACGCUGAUGAUACAUUUAUUAUACAUUUAGUAUACACGUAUUAUACAAAAUUGGACGUGAAAGAUUAUAGUGGCUACGGUGAGUACUAAUAAUAUUAUAUAUAAUGUGUAUAAUUAUAUCCGCACAUUUGUAUAAAAGGUGUAUUUAUACUAAUAUAAUGCAUAUACACAAUCAAUUUCAUAUAUUGUUGUAUAUAUUUUAUAUAUAUAGUGUAUAAUGUAUAUAUGCAGUGCGUAUAUAAUUUAUAAUAUGUAUAUAAAGUGAAUAAUUAAUAUAUAUUUUGUAUAUAAAGUGUAUAAUCUUUCUCUCACAAAUACUCUCAGUGUUUUUUUAUUUUCCCUUUUAGAUCUUAUUUCUUUAGUUUAAUAAUCUGUUUAUAUAAUAUAUAAAAACAAUCGCUUUUUGUUUUUUUUCUUCUUUUCAUUCCUACUUUACUAUUUUUUCUUCAUUUUUGUGAUAAUUCUUUUUGUAUAAAUUCUCGCUCUUUUUUUUUUCUUUCUUUUUUAGUCCUUAAUUAUUUAGAUUUGGUGGAGGAAUUGAGGGUGGAUUACGCUGGUCCAGGGGUGGGUGGGCAUGAUCUUUUAUGAUAUGUCUCUUUUGGGAUGUGGGUAGGAUAGUACGAUGGCGGUUGUGCACUGGUAGCAGCGUUGGUUGUGGAAUUUUGGGAUGGAUAACUAGUCCAAGAGUGAGUAAGUUUGAAUUUUAUAAUAUAUUUUUAGGGGUAUGGAUAGGGCGAUGCGGUGGCAGCAGUACGUUGGAGGUUGCGACGGUGGCAGUGCAACAAUAGAGGGGUAAUUAUGGAGUUUUUUUGUAUAGUCUGACAAAUGCUGGAAGAGGAAGGCGAAUGGGAUGGGGUUGACGAAAUUUUGGGUUGACCAUUUUAAUAUGUUUUAGGCUACUAAAUGUAUUUGAAAUUUUGUGGCUACCAAAUGAUAUAAGUUUAUAGCAAGUGGCUACAAAUGAAAGUAGCUCAUAGCAAUUAGCAAAGUUUUUGCCGUAGGUUAUAUUUGGCAAAGGCAACCCAAAAGAUUAACAUUAUAUAGCCAAAUCACAAAAAACCUACUUUCCUAAUUAUUUUUUCUCCCAGUAACCCUCUUUCUAUCUCACUUUGUCGUCUCUCUCUCUUCCUCUCUCCCCCAUAUUUUUUCUUCUAUCUUCUCCCCUCUCUCUCGUGUAUGGGUGGCAAUUGGGCGGAUUGGGUCAAAUUUGAGCUUGUCAAAACGGGUCAGAUCACUAAAGUGGUCAAAACCCAACCCAACCCAAAUUUUACUUGGGUCAAAAUGGUUCGGGUCAAGUUGGAUCAAAUAACGGGUCAUAACCCAACCCGCCCAACUUGACCCAAUUUUUCUCCUUUGUUUCUUCCUAUUGAACUUAUGAAUUCAAAUUUGAUUUCAAAUCCAGCAAUUGAAUCAGCCAAAUAUAUCCGACCACAAUCUUUACACUUUUUCCUCAACCUAUUAUCUGGAUUAAUGUCAAGUGGUAAUUUCAAAAAAUUAUCCCAUACCACAGAAGUCUUCCUACAUGCACUUGUCGAGCUUAUUUCAGUAGAUUCUUAAACUUCAUCCAUAUGCUCCAUCAACUUUUUUUUUUAAAAGUAAAAAACAUCACUUUCACAACUUAGAGCAAAACAUAAAAAGAUAAAAACGAUAAUAUUAUCUAUAAAGAUUUUGAAUUAUGAGCUCAUAUAAACCCUAAAUUAAAAAUAAACAGUAGCUUAAAACAUCCAACCUUGUGUCGUCUAAGAAAUCGAGAAUGAAGAUUAAAGAUUAAAAGAGGAUGAGAAUAGAGCGGAAGAGCCAAAGACAUUAGCCUAACCUUGUGUCGUCUAAGAAAUCGAGGAGGAAAGAGCUGGGAGUAGUCUGUCUGACUUUCGUCUUCUGAGA
rnacentral:lncRNA from 1 species